CCUCUGCUGUGGAGACGCUCAAGAUGCUGAGCUGAGCCUUAAACCAAACGUGUCCCAUUUAUUUGCUGGAGAGUCUGUAACCUUCAUCUGUGACAUGAGAGAGGGAAAUGCCACUGACUGGCUUUACAAAUUCAACUGGAAUGAUCAAGAAAUGGUCCAAUUCAAUAAAAGUAGCUCCUACUCACUUUACCUGACAGCAGAGCUGAGUGGGAAUUAUCAAUGUAUUGGUCGCCACAAUGGCUUGAAAGAUUUUACAAAACAGAGUAAUAACCUGACUCUGUCCAUAUCAGCACACAGACCCACGGCGACUAUAACAGCAGACAAGACAACUAUUCCAGUGGG